AUUGCUGGAAGUUUGAACUUCGAGAGGGCAGAGCGAUCCCGUAUGAGAAGACCACCGAUGUGAUCAUAGCAUUUUCUCUGGGCGUACCUUCUGGCACGACACCGCCAUCCGACACAAGUUUGGCCGGCGAAGCAGCUCUGCUUGCUCCGGCACUUACUUUGACGCCUCCGGUGGCUGUUGGUCCUCUUCUCUGCUCUCUCUCAAGCUCUAUGACACUUGAUACUUGUUGAGCAUUCUUGCUGGACGCACCUU